rnacentral:misc_RNA from 1 species
CAGGUAUGCUAAACUUGCCGUCGUCGGGGACAACCGUGUAAGACGGCGGAGUCGGUGGGAAGAAGGCGAACUUAGCAGCGAUGGAAGAAGUCACUCCUCCCAUUAUCUACAGUAACUUAUCGUUACUGCACCAAUCAUAAAGCAGCCCCCUUUUCCCUUAUCUUCUUCUUCAGGGCGGCGCGUGGAGGUCAAGAGAGGCGCGUGGG